UAAUACGGAGGGUGCGAGCGUUGUCCGGAAUCACUGGGCGUAAAGGGCGCGUAGGCGGCCCCGCAAGCGUGUGGUGAAAGCCCGGGGCUCAACCCCGGGUCGGCCGUGCGGACUGCGGGGCUCGAGCACUGUAGGGGCGGGUGGAAUUCCGGGUGUAGCGGUGGAAUGCGUAGAGAUCCGGAAGAACACCGGUGGCGAAGGCGGCCCGCUGGGCAGGAAGACCCCUUACGGGGUCGGCUGACGCUGAGGCGCGACAGCGUGGGGAGCAAACAGGAUUAGAUACCCUGGUAGUCCACGCCGUAAACGAUGGGCACUAGGUGCCUGGGGGAGCGACCCCCCGGGUGCCGGCGCUAACGCAUUAAGUGCCCCGCCUGGGGAGUACGGCCGCAAGGCUG
rnacentral:rRNA from 1 species